rnacentral:lncRNA from 1 species
GGAACUAUGGACCAUAGUUCUCACCCCACGUGGUUUCGGGGUUUCAGGUUCACACGUGAGCGACGCGGCAGUGCGAGGAAAGGGCAUAGCUCCGUAGUUAGCGCCCUACCACUGAGACCAGAGAUAGCAGUACCCUGAGUCGGCUUAACUUAGAGAUGUGAAAAAUGAAAGGACAAGAAUGUAAUAAUGUGUAAGAACUUGAUUGUAUUUGGAAGUAAGAAUCGAAGAAUCAAAAAGGUAAAUGUAAUAUGUGAUGUAAAAUGUAUGUGAAUUGAAUACUAGUAAUAGCAUAGUAUUUAUGUUUUUUAUA